AUUGAACGCUGGCGGCAGGCUUAACACAUGUAAGUCGAGCGGGGUGAUGGUGCUUGCACUAUCACUUAGCGGCGGACGGGUGAGUAAUGCUUAGGAAUCUGCCUAUUAGUGGGGGACAACAUCUCGAAAGGGAUGCUAAUACCGCAUACGUUCUACGGGAGAAAGCAGGGGAUCACUUGUGACCUUGCGCUAAUAGAUGAGCCUAAGUCGGAUUAGCUAGUUGGUGGGGUAAAGGCCUACCAAGGCGACGAUCUGUAGCGGGUCUGAGAGGAUGAUCCGCCACACUGGGACUGAGACACGGCCCAGACUCCUACGGGAGGCAGCAGUGGGGAAUAUUGGACAAUGGGGGGAACCCUGAUCCAGCCAUGCCGCGUGUGUGAAGAAGGUCUUCGGAUUGUAAAGCACUUUAAGUUGGGAGGAAGGGCAGUAAGUUAACACCUUGCUGUUUUGACGUUACCGACAGAAUAAGCACCGGCUAACUCUGUGCCAGCCGCCGCGGUAA
rnacentral:rRNA from 1 species